rnacentral:rRNA from 1 species
UACGGAGGGUGCAAGCGUUAUCCGGAUUCACUGGGUUUAAAGGGUGCGUAGGCGGGCAGGUAAGUCCGUGGUGAAAUCUCCAAGCUUAACUUGGAAACUGCCGUGGAUACUAUUUGUCUUGAAUAUAGUGGAGGUGAGCGGAAUAUGUCAUGUAGCGGUGAAAUGCUUAGAUAUGACAUAGAACACCCAUUGCGAAGGCAGCUCGCUACACUAUUAUUGACGCUGAGGCACGAAAGCGUGGGGAUCAAGCAGG